rnacentral:rRNA from 1 species
AGAGCGAACGCUGGCGGCAGGCUUAACACAUGCAAGUCGAACGGAUCCUUCGGGAUUAGUGGCGGACGGGUGAGUAACACGUGGGAACCUUCCUAGAGGUACGGAACAACGCAGGGAAACUUGCGCUAAUACCGUAUGUGCUCUUGCGAGGAAAGAUUUAUCGCCUUUAGACGGGCCCGCGUCGGAUUAGCUAGUUGGUGGGGUAAUGGCCUACCAAGGCAACGAUCCGUAGCUGAUCUGAGAGGAUGAUCAGCCACACUGGAACUGAGACACGGUCCAGACUCCUACGGGAGGCAGCAGUGGGGAAUCUUGGACAAUGGGCGCAAGCCUGAUCCAGCCAUGCCGCGUGAGUGAAGAAGGCCUUCGGGUUGUAAAGCUCUUUUGUCAGGGACGAUAAUGACGGUACCUGAAGAAUAAGCCCGGCAAACUUCGUGCCAGCGCCGC